rnacentral:misc_RNA from 1 species
GAUGAAGAACGUAGCGAAAUGCGAUAAGUAAUGUGAAUUGCAGAAUUCAGUGAAUCAUCGAAUCUUUGAACGCACAUUGCGCCCGCCAGUAUUCUGGCGGGCAUGCCUGUUCGAGCGUCAUUUCAACCCUCAGGCCCCCAGUGCCUGGGGUUGGGGAUCGGCCCAGCCUUCCUGUAAGGCCGCCGGCCCCGAAAUCUAGUGGCGGUCUCGCUGUAGUCCUCCUCUGCGUAGUAGCACAACCUCGCAGUUGGAACGCGGCGGUGGCCAUGCCGUUAAACACCCCACUUCUGAAAGUUGACCUCGGAUCAGGUAGGAAUACCCGCUGAACUUAAGCAUAUCAAUAAGCGGAGGA